GGCCGCAGUCUCCAUCGCGACAGGCUGGCCCCCGCCCCUCACCGGGGAGUUGCUGCUUCCGGGUCACCCGGCAACGUCUUCCGGUUCUGUUGGAGCUGGUUGCUACAGCAACCUGAAUGGCCCCUUUACACAAGAACCGGACGCUUCAAAUGUAAACAACCCUAAAAUUGGAAAUGAUCUCCAACUCCGGUCUGAAAGGUCUCCACUGUAAAAACAAAGUACCCCCUUUUUUAAAUAUAUAAAUACAUGGAGUACUGUGUGCAGUUCUGCUUUACAGUAAGGAUGUGAAACAGAAAUUGCUGGAGAAACUCAUCAGCAUCUGUGGAGAGAGAAAGCAGGUUCGAGUCCAGCGACUCCACUUCAGAAUUGAACAUCAGCGAGGAAAAUGUGUUAUUGCCAAGUUAAUGCUGCCAGGUCUUCAUUCCCUGAGUCUUUGGGGAGGCCUAAUGCUAUUAUUGCUGGACUGUUGAUCCGGAGACCUAGGGCCUGCAGCUGGAAUUCAAUGAUCAGCCAGUGCAGAUAGGAUCAGAGCCCAUGGACUAUUUAACAGAGGGUAACUCUCAGUCUGAAAUUAACAGCUUCCUGAUCAAACUGUCUAAUACAAACUUCUGAACUGUGGACAAGGAGGGUGUUAUUCAGCCCAUCGUAUCCACAUUAACAGCUUCAAACUGCUGUCCAAUUAGUUCAAAUCCUGACCCAAAGCAUUAAUUCUACUUUGCUUCUCCUCAGAUAUGGCCAGACUUUUCUCCAGCAAUUUCUGUUUUUGUUUCUAAUUUCCAGCAUCAACCGUUCUUUGGGUUUUUUAAAAAUUUCCAAUCCAGUUUCCCUUAAAGCACUGCCAUUUACUUCCUUUGAUGGAUAUCUAUCCAAUUACCACUUGUUCCUUCAUUACUAGUGAACUUGACGAAUCCCAGCUUCCAUUCUGUGCAGAAUUGCAGAUCAUUUGAAACUCUGCUGCCUGUGUCCUAAAUUUCACCAAGUCCUGCACCCAAUUAGAUUGAUUCUUGCAGAUCCACAUUGGCCUCUGGUCAAGAAACACUCAAUUUCUUACCCUUCUUUGCAAAUCCCUCAGACCUUCCUAUUUUUGUGAUCUCCUCCAGCCCCACAACCUUCCAAGGUAUCUACCCUCCUCUAUUUCUGACCUGUUAACCACCCCUGAUUUUAACCAUCUCACCAUCGCUGUUGUGCCAUAGUUGAUUGAGUGCCAGGCUCUGGAAUUCCCUCACCCUCUUUUCCUUCCUUUACUACACAUUAAAAACCUUCCCACUUGACCAGGCCUUUGGUCAUUUGCCCUGUAUGUGGUUCAGAGUCUAACUUUGCUUGAUAUUGCUCCCAUGAGGAGCAUUGAAGGUAUGUGGUUAUUGAAGAUUUCUAUUGAAAUUGCUUCCAUGAAUUAUAAAAGGAUAUUGGAGGUACUGCAGAAGCCAGUGAAUGGAUGAAGACGACCUUUGUUCUAUCUUAAAUGGCACAAGGGAAGAGAGAAAUGUACAGUAGUCCAGAAGAAGUUAUAUUGGACUCAAAAUGUUGACUCCGUUUCUCUCUCCACUGUUGCCGCCAGCUUCCACUGUAGUAUUCAAAUAGUGAGUGGCUUCUGUUGGUUCUGAAUAGAAAAUGAAAUAUGAAUGUCAGAAACUGUGCCAUGAACAGGUUUGCAAGCAUUCUUAAAGAGAUAACCACUACUUCCACACUGAAGAAGCUGGAAUUCAGGAUCUGUACAUUGACCUGUAAGAGCAUAUGAAAUAGGUACAGGAGUAGGACUUUUGGCCCCUUGAGUCUGCUCCACCAUUCAAUAAAAUCAUGGCUGAUCCAACGUUCCUCACAUCCACUCUGCUGCCCCUUCUCUGUAACUCUUGAUUCCCCAGCCGAUCAAGAAUCUCUCUAUCUCAGCCCUAAAUAUGCACAAGGACUCUGUCCCCAUAGUUCCCUCUAGUGAGCACUUCCAAAGACUCACAACCCUCUGAAUGAAGAAAUUUCUCCUCAUCUCAAUCUUAAUUUGCUGCCCCCUCUAUUCUGAGACUAGUCCUCUGAUCCUAAACUCUUCCAUGAGGUGAAGCAUCCACUCAAUAUUUACCCUGUCAAACCCCUUAAAAAUCCUAGCUGAUUCAAUGAGAUCACAUCUCAUUCUUCCAUACUCCAGUGAGUAAAGUCCCAAUCUGUUUUGCUUUUGCUCAUGAAAAAAUCCCUCCAUAUCAAGGAUCUUCUAAAUGAACCUUCUCUGAACUACCUUCAAUGAAACAAUAUCUUUUCUUAAAACUGCCUCGAGACCCCAGAUAUGGUCUCACCAGCACCUUGUAUAGUUACAGCAAGACUUCACUACCCUUAUAUUUGAACCCCCUUGAAAUAAGGGCUAACAUUCCAUUAGCCUUCCUGAUUACUUGCUGCACCUAUGUGCUAGCUUUCUAUGUUUUGUGCUCAAGUACUUUCAAGUCCCUUUGUGUUCCAGCUUUCUGCCACUCUUUUUUCCCCAUUUAAAAGUAUUCUGUUCGCUCUUCCGAUUGAAGCAACUUCCCAUUGGACCCAAAAAAGAUUCACGUAAAACAAUGUGACAGCGUACGGCCAGAAGGAUCUUCUGCCUCAGUCACGAGGUAGGAGUGUUAAUAUGUUGAGGGAGUUUGGCCCAGAGCUGUCAGGCUUCAAAUGAGGACUUUGGGUAAUUGUGUAGUGCCCAUUUAUAACACCAGAUUGUGGAGGAAAGAGUUAAGUAAAGUUUUCCACUUGUUUACAGCCUUAUCCCAUACUCCUUAAAAGUUGAAGCCAAAUGUCUGGUCAUUACCAUCAGAGAACAUGCCUCUUCAGGUUUACCAAAGUUAACUUGUAUUUGUUGCGUCUAUUCCCCAUAAAACAUGGAAAUAUUUAUAUCUGCAGUGCAGAGCAGCUGGAUUGUACAAACCAAUGACUCAUUGGUGGAAGGUGAGUUGUCCACUAUUACCAUGGCAACUGGUAUUGGAGCUGGGGUCGGGGGGGGGGGGUGCGAAUCAUCUUCAAACCAGAUUUCUGUUGUGUUUUUCAAACCGUGGCAGUUUUCUUUUCCUUUCCACGGAAAUACAUCUCAGUUCAGACAAGGUUGAGGGUUUGGCUGCAUUAACAUAACACUGCGUGUCAGCACUAUGCUGCUCUGUAAAUUGGUAUAACUAAGUGAAGACGGCCCACUGAAAGAAAGGCAGACCUCUCCAAAAGAUCUUCCUUGUCCUCAGGAUGUUCCCAAAUGCUUACAAAAAUGUGAUUGCUGUUGUAAUGAGUUAGAUUGCUUGAAUUCUCCGUCUUGUAAUUAACCCCUUUGCUUAAGAGGGCAAUCUUCACUCAACACUAGCCUCCACUCAAUAUUGAGACAGAUAAUCCACCUUCAAAAACAAGAGAAACCUCUGCUGGUUUCCUUUUCGUCUUGUUCCUCCUUUGAUUUCACUGGGUCACGCAUAAGGUGCUUGGAGCAGGGCAGGUAAGGUGACAUGGGCAGAGUUUUGUGGAGGCAGCAAAGCACUCAGCUGGUAAGAGGCUCACGUUGCCUCUUUUUGGGAAGAUACGACGUGUCUCUAAGGGCCUAUGGUUGGCUUUUCCCUUUGGAUGAGGAAUCCCCUCUGAUGGCUGCUACAAGGUCUGGCCACCACCUCAAACUUUACACAGAGGAGAGGCCAAGGCUCAGGUGAGUGAUGCCAGGAGGGUGCUCAUGGCUCGGGAGUACGGGUUUGCAGAGAAGGGGAGUCAGGUGCAAAGACACUCCCCAGCCUUCCUGAUGGUUCCUCAAUCCUUUGACUGAGGGAACUCCUUAUCCCCAGGACAUGCAAGGAAGCCCCUGAUACAUUUGCCCCUCCAUUAUGAAGCCCCUGCCCAUUGCUGGACUACUGGCAGUGGGUAAAGUCACAGAAUGGGCAUUGACCACUCCAGGGCCUCAAUGAGUAACAUCUUGCCUUUGGAAGGAAGCAGGAACAUUGGUGUUUUUAAAGAUAUAAGCAUCAUAGCACUUUCAGGAAUGCCCCUAUAGGGAACUGCCCAAUAGGAAAAAUAUCAGUAUUGAGCUGUGGAGGUAGCAGGCCGUACAAUUACCAGCUUUCCACCUGGUUAAAAAAAAGGGGCUGCCACCAAACACACCCCAGAGAAGGGCACAAGUGUUCUAGGUCCACCCAUCUUCCACUGCUUCAUCAAUGAUCUUUCCUCCAUCACCAGGUCAGAAAUGAGGAUGUUCACUGAUGGUUGCACGACAUUCAGUACCAUCUGUGACUCCUCAGAUACUGAAGCUGACCAUGUUCAAAUGUAACACAAUCUGGACAAUAUCCGGCUUGGGUUGAUAAGUAACAUUCAUGCCACGUAAAUGCCAGGCUAUGGCCAUCACUAAUAAGAGACAAUCUGACCACUGCCCCUUGAUAUUCAACUGUGUUACAAUCACUGAAUCCCCAACUAUUAACAUCCUGGAGGUUACCAUUGACUAGAAAUUCAACUGGACUUACCACAUAAUCACAGCAGCUACAACAGCAAUUCCGAGGCUAGGAAUACUCCCCACUUGCCUGGAUGAGUGCAGCUCCAAUAACACUCAAGAAGCUUGACAAAAGACAAAACAGCCCACUUGAUUGGCACUACAUCCAUAAACACCUAUUCCCUCUACCAUUGAUGCUCAAUUGCAGCAGUGUGUACCAUCUACAAGAUGUACUGCAGAAAUUCAAAAAAGAUCCCCAGAGAGCACUUUCCAAACCCAUGAUCACUUCUGCCGAGAAAGACCAAGACAAGGAGCACAAUCACCUUCAAGCUCCCCUCCAAGCCAUUCACAAUCCUGACUUGAAAAUAUAUUGUCUUUUUUUAACACUCACUGGGUCAAAAUCCUUGAAACUCCCUCCCUAAUGGCAUUGUCAGUCACCAGGCAGCUCAUGGACCACAACAGUUUAGGAAGGCAGCUCACCACCUCCUUUUCAAGGGCAACUAGGGAUGAGCAAUAAAUCCUGGCCCAGCCAGCGAUGCCCACAUCGCUCAAAUGAGUUAAAAAGAAAUUCUAUCCCACAGGUUGAUGUCAUGCCUUGGAAUUCAAUAAAUCUGAUCACUCCUGUUUCAGUACAUUGAAAAUUAUCAUGAAAUUUGGAAGUAUGGUAAAUCAAUCAAUUUUCAAAGUUGAGAAUGGAUCUGAGAAGGAGGUCAAAUCUUAAGAUUGAGUUAAUUUGCAUCUACCUAUCAGGCUGAUGCUGAUUGAAGACUAAACUACAAAGUUGAGUUGACAACGAACUAAGAAUGAUUGGCCUUGAGUAAGCUUGUCAGAAUAGGGUUGCAGUCUCUUAUCUUCAAGUAAAGGCAACAGGAAAAGGAAUUCAGGACCAUAAUCAGGUCAAUGUUUGAAAGCAUUUUAAUAAAGAUUGCAUCAAAAUAGGCCUGAAUUGGAAAAGUUCCAGUAUAUAAUUGGCUAAUCACACAGUGUGAAUUCCCUAAAUAUGAGGAGAUUAAUAGACUUGACUUCCUUUUUCUCCAAAUGAGACCUAGCUACACUAUUUCUCCCCCCAAAUGAGGCGAUAGACUCUGUUCCGCUAAAUGAGCAAAUUAAGGCGCAGAAUUUUCGUUUCAGGACAAGGGACAGAUGAUUAAUCCGCUUGCAGGAAAUGAUUUAAAGACUAUAAUGGAGCUCUAAUUCUUCAGCAUUUGAUUUCCACCAUGGUUGCCUGGUUUUUCAAUCCUCUAGAAAUUCAGCAACCACCCAGUGGCCCUGAAAUCCAUCAUUAUGAAGUGCUUUGAGAGGUUGGUAAUAGCACACAUCAGUUCCAGCCUCCCAGAUUGACUUGAUCCACGACAAUUCACCUACGUCACAAUAGAUCCACGGCAGACACCAUCUCCCCGGCCCUACACUCGUCCCUGGAACAUCUGCAUAAUAAGGACACCUAUAUCAGAUUAUUAUUUAUUGACUUCAGCUCCACCUUCAACACUAUAAUUCCGGCAAAAUUCAUUGCCAAAUUCCGAGAUGUAGAACUCUGCUCCCCACUCUGCAACACAAUCCUUGACUUCUUGACCCACAGACUGCAAUCAGAAAGGAUAGGCAACAACACCUCCUCCAUGAUAAUCCUCAACACCACAGCCCUGUAAGGCUGUGUAUUCAGCUCCUUACUAGACUCCUUAUACGCUUACAACUGUGUGGUGAAAUUCUUCUCUAAAUCUUUUAACAAGUUUAUUGGUGACACCACCACAGUGGGUUGGCUCUUAAACAACAAGACAAGUACAGAACGGAGAUAGACAGCUUAGUGGUAUGUUGUAAAGAUAACAAUCUCCCCCUCAAUGUCAGCAAAAUGAAGGAGCUGGUCAUUAAUUUCAUGAAGCUGAGUGGGUGGUAUGCUCCUGUCUGCAUCAAUGGUGUUGAGGUAGAGAUGGUCAAGAUUGUCAAGUUCCAGGGAGCGAUGAUCACCAACAGUCUGUCCUGGUCUACCCACAUCAAUGCUACAUCAAGAGAGCACUGCGAUGCCUCUACUUCCUCAGGAGGCUAAGGAAAUUCAGCAUGCCCACAAUGUCUCUUACCAAUUUCUAUAGAUGCACCAUUGAAAGCAGCCUAUCCAGAUGCAAAACAGUGUGGAAAGGCAACUGCUCUGCCCUUGACUGCAAGAGAUUACAGAGAGUUGUAAACACAGCCCAGUCCAUCAUGAAAACCAGCUGUCCAUCUAUGGAGUCCAUCUAUACUUCCCGUUGCCUUAGGAAGGCAACAAACAUCAUCAAAGACGCCUCCCACCCUGGGUUACACUCUCUCCCACCCUCUUCCAUUGGACAGAAGAUACAAAAGUUUGAAAACACAGCCCAACAACUGUUAUAAGACUUUUGAAUGGAUCUCUUAUCUAUUACAGUUGAUACCUCUCUGUGCUUUUGCUUUGGCUGUAACACUACAUUCUACAUUCUGUUCUAUUUCUCUGAUGUACUUGUGUAAGGUAUGAUUUGUCUAGAUUGCAAACAAAACAAAGCUUUGCACUGUAUGUCAGUAAUGUGACAAUACUAAAUAAAAUCAAUUCA